UCCCUGGUGAUCUAGUGGUUAGGAGUCCACCUUCCAAUGCAGGGGAUAUGGGUUUGAUCCCCAACCAGGGAA
rnacentral:tRNA from 1 species